GCCUCAUUAGCUCAGUGGUUGGAGCACUGGUCUUGUAUACCAGCCGUCUGGAGUUCAAAUCUUUUAAGAACA